GUCUACGGCCAUACCACCCUGUACGUGCCUGAUCUCGUCUGAUCUUGGAAGCUAAACAGGGUUGGGCCUGGUUAGUACUUGGGUGGGAGAGACUGGCAGUGGGGGGUG
rnacentral:rRNA from 1 species